rnacentral:rRNA from 1 species
GACGAACGCUGGCGGCGUGCUUAACACAUGCAAGUCGAACGGACAGGCCCUGCUUUUGUGGGGUGCUCGAGUGGCGAACGGGUGAGUAACACGUGAGUAACCUGCCCUUGACUUUGGGAUAACUUCAGGAAACUGGGGCUAAUACCGGAUAGGAUCUCCUGCUGCAUGUUGGGGGUUGGAAAGUGUCGGCUGUUCGGGAUGGACUCGCGGCUUAUCAGCUGGUUGGUGGGGUAGGUGCUUACCAAGCCUUUGACGGGUAGCCGGCAUGGGAGGGUUACCGGGGACCUUGGGACUGAGAUACGGAGCAGAAUCCUAUGGGCGGCAGCAGUCGAGAAUAUUGCAGAAUGGGGGGAAGCCUGAUGCAGCAAUGCCGCGUGCGGGAUGACGUCUUUCGGGUUGUAAACCGAUUUGGAAUGUGACGAAGCGUGAGUGACGGUAAUGGGUAAAGAAGCACCGGCUAACUACGUG